GUAGGGAAUCUUCGGCAAUGGGGGAAACCCUGACCGAGCAACGCCGCGUGAGUGAGGAAGGUCUUCGGAUCGUAAAGCUCUGUUGCCAGGGAAGAGACGCCCAGGGGAGGGAAUGCCCUUGGGGUGACGGUACCUGAGAAGAAAGCCCCGGCUAACUACGUGCCAGCAGCCGCGGUAAUACGUAGGGGGCAAGCGUUGUCCGGAAUUAUUGGGCGUAAAGCGCGCGCAGGCGGUCCUUUAAGUCUUGUGUUUAAGCCCGGGGCUCAACCUCAGUUCGCAUGGGAAACUGGAGGACUGGAGUGCAGGAGAGGAAAGUGGAAUUCCACGUGUAGCGGUGAAAUGCGUAGAGAUGUGGAGGAACACCAGUGGCGAAGGCGACUUUCUGGCCUGUAACUGACGCUGAGGCGCGAAAGCGUGGGGAGCAAACAGGAUUAGAAACCCCUGUAGUCC
rnacentral:rRNA from 1 species